UACGUAGGGUGCGAGCGUUAAUCGGAAUUACUGGGCGUAAAGCGUGCGCAGGCGGUUCUGUAAGACCGAUGUGAAAUCCCCGGGCUUAACCUGGGAACUGCAUUGGUGACUGCAGAGCUAGAGUGUGUCAGAGGGAGGUGGAAUUCCGCGUGUAGCAGUGAAAUGCGUAGAUAUCUGGAGGAACACCGGUGGCGAAGGCGGUAUCCUGGACCGACACUGACACUGAGGAGCGAAAGCCAGGGGAGCAAACGGG
rnacentral:rRNA from 1 species